UGUUACAAGAAAAGGAAACUGCAGGUUUCUAAAGAUACAGACCCAAAAUUCUUCACAAGUUUGAACAACAUGGGUCUAACAUCUGGGGACUUCAGGCACUGGUCUUCAGACGACACUGUAUGCCAUGUAUCAAGGAGAACAGAAGCCAAGGACCCACAGCGGCAGCCAUGGCAGCGAGUGAGGAGGAGAGCAGUCCUCAGGGACCAGGCACUAACAGGUACAGGGUAGAGGCCCCUGGGAAGGAGGAAGCAGCCUCCAGGGACAUCAGAAAUGGCUGUGUUGGUUGGCUUUCUGUUACUGCAAUACAAUAGUUGAGGAAGCUUCUGGAAACAACUCACUGAGCCCAGCCUGGUGCCUUCUUUCCUACUCAAGCUGACACUUUUGUAAUCCUCUCUGCCACGGAAUUUUCAAACAGCAACUCAGGUAAAUGUGAGGGCUAGUGUUUCAGGAAAAUAAAAUUGAUCACAAUUGCAUGGGAUAUACUUGGCUAGUGUAAACAAAGAGAAAAAAAGAGACAGGCAGACAGACAGAGAGAGAGAGAGAGAGAGAGAGAGAGACAGGAAGAGGAGGCAUAAUGAUAAAACACUAAGCAGCAGAGAGUAGCAAACUAUUUAAGAUGCAGGCCUCAAAUUUUUUAAGAAAAUAUUAAGAAUAAAUCCACAUUACUGUUUUUUAAAAUGUCUGUGAAAUAAACUAUUUGCUAUAUGAAUAAAAAUUCCAAGAUUAACUAAAGAAUCAUGACACAUGAAUGGAAUGAUGGUCUAGAGAUAGAGGGUCCAGGAAGAUGGGAAGGUUAUCUCUGCAGUAUUGGUAAGUUUUAAAUGCUGGCAAUGUUCAAAUGAUCUUUAACAAAUUGUUCUGGAGAAUUUGGAAAUGUGAAAAUCUUCCCUGUUGCCUUUCCAUGUUAGCAUAGCUGUGACAUCUAAACCUGAGGUAGAAAACACAGAUCAGGUUGGGUUUUCCUCAGCAAUGAUUGGUGGGGCACAUAUAAGACCAGCAGCAGGCACUCAGCAGUGUUUUGCAGACUGGCUGUCCAUGCGUCAUUCUUCAGCAGGGAUGGUUGGCAGGUGAAAGGUAAACCCAACAGCAUAACCAUUAAGAGGAACUGGCAAAAGGGAGAUGAUACUCAUUCGUUUCAAAACCUGUCAAGGACACUCAAGAGAUUUCAACACAGAUUCUUAUGAAGAUUGGAGAAAACUCAGCCACACGAGUGACAAUGAAUAUUUAACAAGACCUGAAACACAGGGAACAUGUCAUGGAGCAGGUCCUGUAGGGUCCUUUUGCAAUCAGACACAGGGAGGGGGUCCAGUGCGGUUUUCUGUCCUUGCGGAAGUCUUGUCCACUACGCUAAGGUGUCGCUGUCCCUGGGCAUGACCAGAGUGGUCCCCUGGGAGAAGGCAAGGCCUCAACUUGCCCUGGUGAUGGGGUCAUUUCUGGACUUGUCACAGAAAAUCUUCUCAGGGUAUGACAGUGAGUGCCAGAGGCGGGUGAAGGAAAAACACACUCUAAGAACGUGGGGUCUGGAGUGUUGUGGGGUGUCUAGGAUGUGUCCCUGUGUCCCUCAGACACCCAUCUGGUGGGGGGUGGAAACUGCAGACCAGCUUGAUGUAUCAGGAAGCCCGGGCCCAGUCCCCAACCUCAUUGUGUCUUUAAGACUCAGGAGUUGUUUUCACAGUGAUUUUCCUAGUAGACAAAAAAGCAUCGUGCUCUUGGAUAACUUGGUGUCCUGAAGCUGCAACUUUGCUUGAAAGUACAAUUUUGAAGCUCCCUGCCCUUUGUCUCUGGUGACUGCUGUCUGACCUGCAGCUGCUUCCCCUUCCCAAGUCCGUGAGGUCAUUCUUGGAACCGGCGUCCAUCUCCCCAGUGGCCCCAUAAAGUGGGCUCCUUCAGCCUCUCCAAGGUCCGAGCCUCCUGCCUGCUGGACCCACACCAGGCUGCACACUAAUGGCGUCGGCAGGCACAAGACGUAUUUCUUAGUACUCUGACUAAGGCGCUGAGACCACGUUGCUCUAAUGAGGAGCAGAUGAGCGGCACACAGGGAGCGGCACACAGAUGAGCGUAGCCAGAAAUCCAGGGAAGCUGAGAGAGAGAGGAAAACACCAAUAUUGCCAAAUCCCCUGGAGCUGCAGUUCACACACAUUUCAUUCAGCUAUGGCCUGCAUGCUGGUAACUCAGUGACAGUGCCCCACUGGAGUGCAGACCAUGUUCGGCUGAAAAAGAAACCAGUGCCAUGGAGCAUUUGUCACUGUGGGACACUAGAGUCUGUCUCAUUGUCUGGGAGCUGAAGAACUACACUCCAUGAACGUUGCUGUCAUCCAAACCAAAGCUGUGACUCACUGCCCUGUGGGAGCUGGGUGGGACAGGAGGCAGCAAGAAUCCUACAGUGUGAUGUCUCUGUUCAAAUACUGUCACAUACAAUUGCUCUGCCACGAGGGCUGGUGCUGGGGACACACGGCAGACACAUGGGCAGCAAGCUUAGAGUAGUCCCUGCAACUGUGCAAGCGCUGGGGAAACCAAAGACCCCAGCUGGAAGCCACUGAGCUCCUGUCACCUCUUCUUGUGCAGGGGACAGGGCAGCCUCCGGGGUCCACAGUGAUGAGCACACACCAGAUCCAGGCAUUCACACCCAGCCCCAUCCCAUGAGGAGCAGGAGAAGGGGCACUGGAGACCUACGGCUGCCUUUUCCCAGGCUGCACUAGGCUCCUCCUAUGCUUGAAUAACCUGCACCUCAGUCCGCUGCCCUCAGCUCUGGAAUGCGUGCCUGCAAAUCCAUAGACGUUGGCAUAAUGGGAGCUGAAAAUAUUAUUUAAAGAGUAUACAUACUCUGAGCAUCUUUAAAGCCUCCAGAUCAUUUUCUCUUAUUUUUUAGUCUUUUUAUUCUGUCAUCAAAUGAAAUUGAUUUAUUAAGGAAAUUAGAAAAAUACAGAAAAGCAAAAGAAUAACAACAAAACUCUCCAAUCCACUCACAGUGGGACACAUAUGCCUUCCUCAUGAAAACUAAAUUAGACAAAUCACA